ACUAAUUGUAUGUGGCAUUUUGGACCAACUUGUGAUUCAGACAUUGAGAGAUCUGAAUCUAGAUCCUCUAUUCAGAAAUAACCAGUCACAGGAACCAGAACAUUUUGUUUCAAAACUUAUAGUUUGCUUUACAGUACUUUUGGAGUACCCCAGUCAAGGAACACUUGUGAAAUACUUCAAGUAAUAUCAGAAAACCUCUGCCAGAUGUGAACUUUCCUUUUCUGGUGGACUGUCACUGAUCAGCAGCAGAGCCACAGAUAUGAAGUGCAUAUAGAUGGGACCCAGUUUUGCAUUCAGCUGGAAACCUGUGAGAUUGCAAAAAUAAAUGCUGAACAAGUCAAAUUUCUUAGCCUUCCCUCAUAGGAGAGGUUCUCCAACCCUCUAAAAAUCUUGAUGUCCCUCCUCUGGACUCACUCCAGCAGGUCCAUGUCCUUCUGGUUUUGGGACCCCAGAGCUGGAUGCAGCAGUGCAGCUUCUCACGAAUCUUUGCAGGGCACAUUGAGUGUCUUUUUGGAGCUAUUCCAAGACCUGAGAGAACAACUUCAACUGAGUUCAAGCUCAGCUUUAGUGUUGUGGACUUUAAAGCUCUACAUGCUUUCAAACCACUGCAAGCAGCAGGCUAUUUUAUCAAAACUGCAGAAAUGACAAGCAGACCCAAGUAAUAUCCUAUCUCUGGAUGGAUGGUGGAAAGUUCUACCCUGAAAGCAACAUAAUAUGGGAUAAUGGGAAAGGAUGAAAUCUCAAGAGACUCCUAUUGGAACAUAUGCAAGGUGUCUGGAUAAAGCCCAGAUGAUUGAACAUCAUCAGUGGGAUCCAUUACCUCAGAGCAAUGAAAUAAGCAACAGCCUGGAGCUGCACAUUCACCAUCACCUAUCAACCUCCACCCCUCUCCAGACAUGGCAACCAGCAGUGCUGACCACUGGAGAUAGCUGCAAUCCUGUCAUGGAGGAAAAGGGGAAGGAGACAUUAGUCUUCCUUCCCUCUGCCCUCCCUAACAACUAAUGAGUUGUUAGGCUUGAAGUCACUUUUACAGUGUUAGUUGUAUAGCUGCCAGCACAAGAGAAGGCAUCAGGUACCCUAUACUCCCUCACACCAAUAUAACUUGGUAUAUCUUUUUCAUUAGCAACAAAAUGGUGAAUGUAUCCUCAAGCAUCAGAAGCUGGGCUGGCACACUUCUUUCACCUUGCUCAGAAAAAUUUCCCAUCUGGUACAUGGCCCAUUCUUCCUGAAAUACUGGGUGUCAUGAGAUCAUCUCACACAGCUCCCUUUCUUCUUGAAGUUCAAACAAAGAGUCAGUGUUCACUGAAGCACAUCAUUUACAGUUCAGGGUAAGCAUGCAAGUGGGUUUUCAGCCACUCCACCCAAAUGAAUGACAGGGUUUUCCAGGUGUAGAGUUUUUUUGGUAUUGGGUGUGUGUGAACUACAUGGUAUUUUGUAUAACACGUUGUGAUUCACUUUUAAUUUUUUUUUUUUCCUGCAAAAAUCUGAGGGCUUGUGGGGCUUAAAGGCAAACCUAUCAAUUGCCAGACAAUGGCUGGAAAGGAUUUUGAAUCACAGCAAACCUUUGAUGAACCUGGAUUGAAUUUCGAAUUUGCAAUAAAACCUGUGAGUUUCCAGUGGUUUCAGGUUCAGUUGUAAUCAUUAUACAGCAUCUCUAAUUACAAGUUGCCAUGCGAGAAAGAAAAUCUAAUA